AUACUUACCUGGCAGGAGUGAUUCCAUGAUCACGAAGUUGGUUUCCCCAGCGCCAGGUUUAUUUGUUGCACUCCGGAUGGGCUGACCCGUGCGGUUUCCCAAAAUGCAGUGAACUCGCCUGCAUAGUUUGUGGUAGUGGGGGACUGCGUUCGUGCUCUCACCUA
ensembl:snRNA U1 U1 spliceosomal RNA